CCUACGGGUGGCAGCAGUAGGGAAUAUUGCUCAAUGGGGGAAACCCUGAAGCAGCAACGCCGCGUGGAGGAUGAAGGUUUUCGGAUUGUAAACUCCUUUUGUUAGAGAAGAUAAUGACGGUAUCUAACGAAUAAGCACCGGCUAACUCCGUGCCAGCAGCCGCGGUAAUACGGAGGGUGCAAGCGUUACUCGGAAUCACUGGGCGUAAAGAGCGCGUAGGCGGGAUAGCAAGUCAGAUGUGAAAUCCUAGGGCUUAACCAUAGAACUGCAUUUGAAACUGUUAUUCUAGAGUAUGGGAGAGGUAGGUGGAAUUCUUGGUGUAGGGGUAAAAUCCGUAGAGAUCAAGAGGAAUACUCAUUGCGAAGGCGACCUGCUAGAACAUAACUGACGCUGGUGCGCGAAAGCGUGGGGAGCAAACAGGAUUAGAUACCCCGGUAGUC
rnacentral:rRNA from 1 species